rnacentral:ncRNA from 1 species
ACAUAUUUUAUUUUAGUAGUUUGAUUUCUUAUUUCUUUUAAUUACAUGUAGGCUAUUACGAAAAAUUUUUAAUAAUUAAAAUACAGUAAUUGGAGUUAUUCUUUAAUAAAUAUUAGAUCUAUAAAUUGAAUUUAAACUUAACAAACUUUGUGCCAGCAGUUGCGGUUAUACAAUUAAGUUAAUGAAAUUUUUAAAAUAAGUUAAUUAUUCAUUUGAGAGAUUAAAAAAUCAAAAUUUAAAGGUAAAAUUUGAUUUUUAUUUUUAAAUCUUUAUUUAUAAUUAAAAAACUGAAGUAUAAAUCAGGAUUAGAUACCCUGUUAUUAAAGUGUAAAUUUAUUGGAGUAGUAGUAGUUAAGAUCUUGAAACUCAAAAAAUUUGGCGGUAUUUUAUCUUAUUAGAGGAACCUGUUUAUUAAUUGAUAUUCCACAACUUUAAUUUACUUUUAUUAAAUUACUUGUAUAUCGUUGUCAUGAAUCUAUUAAAAAGUGAUUUUCAAGAUUUUUUAUAAAAUUUAUGUUAGAUCAAGGUGCAGUCUGUAAAAGAAAAAAAUGGGUUACAUUAGUUACUAUGAAUGAAUAUUAUUAUUGGAAAAUAUUGGAAAAGGGAUUUAAAAGUAAAAUAAAAUUAAUAAAGAUUUUUCAUGAAUUUAGAUUCUGAAAUAUGUACACAUUGCCCGUCGCUCUUAUUUAAAGUAAGAUAAGUCGUAACAUAGUAGAUGUACUGGAAAGUGUGUCUGGAAUUAGA